GUCUCUUUGUUUACACUUAUAUAAAGAGUCUAACCUGCCCAGUGAUAUAUUAUUUAACGGCCGCGGUACUUUGACCGUGCAAAGGUAGCAUAAUCAUUUGCCUUAUAAUUGAAGGCUUGUAUGAAUGGUUUAACAAGAAUUAAUUUGUCUCUUGCUAAUUAAAAUGAAAUUGACUUUUAGGUGUAAAGGCCUAAAUGUUACUAAUAGACAAGAAGACCCUAUUGAGCUUGAAAAAUUUAUGAUAAUAUAAGUAUAUUGAGACUGAAAUUAUAAGUUAUUAAGAUUUUUAGUUGGGGUGACUAUUGGAACAAAUAAAGCUUCCAGAGAUUCCAUAAUAUCUGAUGUUAAUUUAUUUAAAUUGGAUCCAAAAUAUUUUGAUUAAUAGAAUAAGUUACCAUAGGGAUAACAGCAUAAUCUAUCUUAAGAGCUCUAAUCGAAAGAAAGGUUUGUGACCUCGAUGUUGGAUUAAAAUAUCCUAAGGGUGUAAAAGUUCUUAAGGGUUGGUCUGUUCGACCAUUAAAAUUUUACAUGAUCUGAGUUCAGACCGGCGUAAGCCAGGUCAGUUUCUAUCUUUAGUUAAUGAGUCAGACUCUAGUACGAAAGGACCGAGCUUAGAGGAUGGUUAUUAUAAUCUCACAGAAUGAUAUUGUAUAAUUAAUAUUUCAGUUCUAUAA
rnacentral:rRNA from 1 species